rnacentral:rRNA from 1 species
AUUGAACGCUGGCGGCAGGCCUAACACAUGCAAGUCGAACGAGUGGCGGACGGUUGAGUAAUGUCUGGGAAACUGCCCGAUGGAGGGGGAUAACUACUGGAAACGGUAGCUAAUACCGCAUACCAUCGGAUGUGCCCCGAUGGGAGUAGCUAGUAGGUGGGGUAACGGCGCACCUAGGCGACGAUCCCUAGCUGGUCUCAGAGGAUGACCAGCCAGACUGGAACUGAGACACGGCCCAGACUCCUCAGGGAGGCACCAGUGGGGAAUAUUGCACAAUGGGCGAAAGCCUGAUGCAGCCAUGCCGCGUGUAUGAAGAAGGCCUUCGGGUUGUAAAGUACUUUCAGCGAGGAGGCGUUACUCGCAGAAGAAGCACCGGCUAACUCCGUGCCAGCAGCCGCGGUAAUAC